rnacentral:rRNA from 1 species
ACUCCUACGGGAGGCAGCAGUAGGGAAUCUUCCACAAUGGGCGCAAGCCUGAUGGAGCAACACCGCGUGAGUGAAGAAGGGUUUCGGCUCGUAAAGCUCUGUUGUUAAAGAAGAACACGUAUGAGAGUAACUGUUCAUACGUUGACGGUAUUUAACCAGAAAGUCACGGCUAACUACGUGCCAGCAGCCGCGGUAAUACGUAGGUGGCAAGCGUUAUCCGGAUUUAUUGGGCGUAAAGAGAGUGCAGGCGGUUUUCUAAGUCUGAUGUGAAAGCCUUCGGCUUAACCGGAGAAGUGCAUCGGAAACUGGAUAACUUGAGUGCAGAAGAGGGUAGUGGAACUCCAUGUGUAGCGGUGGAAUGCGUAGAUAUAUGGAAGAACACCAGUGGCGAAGGCGGCUACCUGGUCUGCAACUGACGCUGAGACUCGAAAGCAUGGGUAGCGAACAGGAUUAGAUACCCUGGUAGGCUA